UUCGUGUUUCCCUUCAUGUUUCUCUCUUACAAAUUAGAUAUGCCUUUACGUUUUGAUGAAUCUGAUUUAGGGUUUUUUUGUUGUUGUAAUGUUUUGUUUUGUUUUCAAUGAUAAAGUUUAGUUUUUUUUUUUGUUGUUAAAUCCUCUGAAGAAAAGUUUUCAUCUUUAAAACAAUUUUUUUUUCAUUAUCUUUUAUCUUUCAUGUUUCUAGUUUUUUUCUUCAGGUUUUGAGGAGUUUCAGUUUAGUUAAAUAUAUAUAUUUUAUAAUUUUAAUUUUUCUUCAUGUUUUGUGUUGUUAAUUCAUUUUGUGCAUCAAGGUUUCUUAAGUUGUGUUGUUUUCCAGAUGUGAGUUUCACUUCUAACAUUUAAUCUGACCACUUCCUUCUCACUUUUAUUUUCCAAAUCAGAGUUUCAAUUUUAACAGUUUUGGAGCCGCGAUCUAUAACUCUUCAUUAUUGUUGCUGCUUAUUUUUUGUUUUUUAGAUUUAAUCUGACCACUUCUUUCUCACUUUUGUUUUUUAUUUUUCAGAAAUCUGACCACUUCCUUCUCACUUUUUCCGUUCAGAGUUUCACUCAACAAGUUUAAUCUGGCCACUUUCUUCUCAUUUUUAUUUUCUACACAACUACUUGUUUUUGUUCCUAGUUGUUCCAUACACUUAGAGUGUGUUUGGAUGGAGCAUUUUAACGAGGGAAAGUAAUUUUUUGAGGGAAUUUAAAAUAAUUUGACCAAAAUUCAUUGUUUGGAUACAAAAAUGAAGAAUUGUUAAAAUGAUGGAAAUUUAUGGAGUAUUUCAUUUAAGUUAAAUUUAAUCAUUUUGAAAUGACACCAAAAACCAAAGAAUUUGAAAUUCCUCUCAUGUUCCAUAGAAUGUAUUUGUUAUUAUUAUUUCUUCAAAAUUUACAAAUUAGUCCUCAUAUUUUUCAAAAAUAUAAAAUUGACCCCAAUUUUUUUAAAAAAAUUGCAAAUUGGUCCUUAAUAAUUUUUAAAUUUUACAAUUUGGUCCUUCAAAUUUUUAAAAAUUACAAAUUGGUCCCUACUUUUUCAUUUUUUAAUUUGGUCCAAAAAAUUUAAAUUUUAUACAAAAUGACACCAAAAAUCUAACAAUGAAUUAUCUUAAUACUUCAUCCAAACAAAACAAUUUAAAAAUGAAUGGAUUUGAAUUGAAUCAUUUGAAUUGCUUUGAAUUUUAAAUUACUUUAAAAUUUCUAAUUACCUCAUCCAAACACACUCUUAGUGUUACUCUCUUAUUAUUGAUGCGGAUUUCUGAUUAGGUAACUAAGUAUCUCGUUUACCUUCCUUUAAUUUAUAGGUUUGGAUUUCAAUACUAACACUCAGUAUUGUUUUAGAUUGUUUGGGUUAGUUAUGAAAUUUUAUUGCAAGUAACACCUAAGUAAUUAAGUCUUAAAAUUUAAAUUCACAUAAAACAAAUUAGCCCAAAUUCUCCUACCCAACUUUACCCCCAUGAGUUCUGAAUUGUCCAAAGCCAGUAGAAAAAAGGUUUUGGACAAUUCAAAACUUACGGGGUAAAGUUGAGCGGCUCUGAAUUGUCCAAAGCCAAUAGAAAAAAAAAUAAGGUUUUGGACAAUUCAAACUUAUGAGGUAAAGUUGAGCGGCAGUAGUUGGAAGACAAUUUACAAUAGGGUCAAUAAGAGUUUGUAUUGAGAAGGUAGCAGAACUAGAAAAAAAUCUCCCAUGCCAGAACUGGUGCUCAAGUAGGUAAUCCUGGUAAACAUAGACAUGCCGGAAUGGUAAAAGUAAUUUACUAUCUACCCAUUAUUAAACAAUGAACCAUUCUUCCUAUUGUGCCCUUACCUAAAAAAAAUUUAGGCUACAACUUGGACAUUUUAGUAACUAGCAAAAUAAACAUUUACUUUAUCAUCUUUUCUGUCUGGAUGCCCCAAAUGUUCAUUUUUCAUUGGUCUAGUUUAAAUUAUAUUUUUCCGUCAAGACAAUCUUACACUCAACAAAAGAAACAAUAGUACACUCCAAGGACACUAAUUCCUCAGUCUCUAUUUUCUCUCUCUGCUCCUGUUUUCUCUUGUCUCUCUUUUCCCUCCAGUUCUCACCAUCACUCAGUCCUCACCAAAAUGGGCACAUUCCUCCGUCCUCACCAUCACUAAAAGUGUAGAACAUUGCUCACUCUUCAUCAAAUGGGAAAUAUGUCUUCUCCUCCCACCUUCCUCACUCUCCUUCCUCUUCACCCUCUUCUCUCUCCACGUUAACUCUUCCUCAAUCUCUAUUCCUUUCUCCAAUUUUUCAAUUUCACUUUUUCAGUUCAAGCGAACGAAGUCAUUUCCGAAGACGGUUUCACCGUCACAACCGUUCUCGAUGGUCACAAGCUUCACAUAAACCCUUUCUCCGUUCUCCAACGACCCCAUUCCUCCGAGAUCUCAUCAUUGUUACUCCUCAAAUAGUACUUUCUACACUGUCCAAUCACCCAUUUCCCAAGAAAGUGUUUUCAAAAGGUUUUCUGGAAAUGGGUUGCUUGGGUAUGGUGAUGGUGAUGUGUGUUCCGCAAGGUUUUCCAAAUCUAAAAGCUUUGUUGUUCAUGUAAGAGGGAAUGUGUAUGUUGCUGAUAUGGUUAAUAAGGUGAUGGGGAAAAUCAGCACCAAUGGUAUGUUUCUACAUAAACUUUUCUAUGGCUUGGUUCUAUCUUUGGGUUUUAUCUAUUUAUACAUGAGGAUAUUUUAUCUUUUUCCUCAAUUUUAAUGUGUGCACUGUAGAACAUCAAAUGUAGUCUCUGUGUUUGAGAACAAAGGACAUAAGCUUAUUUCAUUUUACUUCUGUCAUUAGUCAUUGGUUUCAAGGUUUCUCAUUUGUUUAAAAUGAUGUUAUUUGUUUCAAGGUUUGUCAUAGAGAUAAUAGUAAAUUACAUGAACAACUUACUCAUUACAACUAAUUGAUUCCUACAAAGUGUUUAUGUAAAUUGGAGUGAGACUUGGACCAAAGUGGUAAAACAAUUUGUUGAAGUUGACUUAUUAUGGUUUUACAUGAGAUUUAGCUUUCCAAAGCUCUGUUUCUCUCUUUUUUAUUGAAACUUUAAUUUCUUUUCCGACUUUUCUCACAAUGUAUUUUCUCAUAAUUUUAUUUCAUUUCAUUUGGCAAUUACUUUUGAAAUUUCGUUUCAUGCUCAGAAGCUGAGCUGAGCCACGCUGCUGAUGCGCUGAGCACUGGAAAUCCAACAAGUUUGAAGCAUCAGGAAGAAUGAAACAGCAUAAUGACCAUCACGAGGGACGAGACCAACAACUUUUUCUCCUUCUCAUACCCAUUUGCAUCCCUAUUAACAUUACAUUCCUAUUAACAUAACAAAGUUGGGUAUUUGGUAUUUUCACUAAAAUAAUCAACCUUUAUGAGCUACUUUUGUUAUUGUUUGCUUUAGUUUUUCAACUACACACUUGUGUUCUCAAAGUGAAUAACCUGUGAUGAUGGAUGUAAGCAUAAAAGGAGGUGUAGCUGGUGGAAGCAUUCUGAGGAAAAGGAUUAGAGAAGGAACUUCAUAGCUUACUUCCUCCAUACGUGUCGAAUGGAAUUAGAGUCACACCUCCUCCAUACGGCAUCGAUAUUACAUGGCUCAAAGCAAAGAUGAUUGGCAAUGUAAGUUCCAUGUCACCUUGAUGAUAAAUAUUCAAGGUUCUGUUUUUCAUUAUCUUUUAUCUCUUCAUGUUUCUAGUUUUUUUCUUCAGGUUUUGAGGUGUUUCAAUUUAGUUAAAUAUAUAUAUAUAUUUUAAUUUUAAUUUUUCUUCAUGUUUUGUGUUGUUAAUUCAUUUUGUGCAUCAAGGUUUCUUACGUAGUGUUGUUUUCCAGAUGUGAGUUUCACUUCUAACAUUUAAUCUGACCACUUCCUUCUCACUUUUAUUUUCCAAAUCAGAGUUUCAAUUUUAACAGUUUUGGACCCGCGAUCUAUAACUCUUCAUUAUUGUUGCUACUUAUUUUUUGUUUUUUAGAUUUAAUCUGACCACUUCCUUCUCACUUUUAUUUUUUAUUUUUCAGAUAUUUGACCACUUCCUUCUCACUUUUUUCCGUUCAGAGUUUCACUCAACAAGUUUAAUCUGACCACUUCCUUCUCAUUUUUAUUUUCUACACAAUUACUUGUUUUUGUUCCUAGUUGUUCCAUACACUUAGUCUUACUCUCUUAUUAUUGAUGCGGUGAGACUUGGAAUGAGACUUGGAUUUCUGGCAAUCCCUUUGAUUAUGUAAGAAAGCCCCAGUAUCUCGUUUACCUUCUCAGUACAAACUCUUGUUUAAUUUUUAGGUUUGGAUUUCAAUACUAAAACUCAGGAUUGUUUUAGAUUGUUUGGGUUAGUUGUUUGGGUUAGUAUGUGUUUCAUGUAAAAGUUUGUAUUGUCUUGGAAAGUUAAACUUUUUCAUAAAUUGUGAAAUUUUAUUCCAACUAACAUCUAAGUAAUCAAGUCUUAAAAUUUAAAUUCAAAUUCAACUAACACUUUUAGUAUAAUUCAAAUGAUCUGUAUAAAAAAAAUAAAAUAUAAAACAAAUUAGCCCAAAUUCUCCUACCCAAUUUUACCCCAAGAAUUUUGGAUCGUCCAAAGCCAAUAGGAAAAAAUACUGUUUUGGACAAUUCAAAAUUCAUAGGGUAAAGUUGAGCUGCAGUAGAAUUUGUCAUAAUUCGUUUUAGUUUUUGAUACGCUAUCAAUGACAAUUUGAAUUAUUCAUGUAAAAGAUCUUAGUUGAAUUUGAAUUUCCAGACUUUAUUACAGAACAUAAAAAGUGUUAGUUGGAAGACAAUUUACUUAAUUACAGAACAAAAAAAGUGUUAGUUGGAAGACAAUUUACUUAAUUACAUUACAAAAAAGGUAUUAGUUGGAAGACAGGUAACUUUCCAACUUAUCCAUAAUGUAUAUGUUAAUUCAAAUAUAAUCCAAUUAAUACAUUCCACAAGAGUUUGUAUUGAGAAGGUAGCAGAACUAGAAAAAGUAUUGGCCGAAGCCUUCAUUGAUAGUGUCGAAGCCUUCUAUGACAGUAGACAAUGCCUCUGAAACACAUCAUUGGAUGAUAGUAGAACCACAAUCCGGGAAAGUCUCCCAUGCCGGAACUGGUGCUCAAGUUGUGCCACAAGGUUGCAGUUUGCUGGAGAGGAGAUUUAGGAGAAAAUGGGAGUGAUUUCAGUUGAGUUGCUGAAGAAUCAGUUUAAGCUGCUGAAGAAUCGGAGAGACGUUGGAGAUGGUACUGAAGUGUGACUGGAUCGUGGGAAAAAUUCUAAGAAAAUAACGCAAGUGGCGGGGGGCCACUUGCUAAAGGGACGGACGCCCUCUUUCUUUUAUUUCUUUUUCUUCUUUUUCUUCAAAAUAGCUUAGGUGCGGGGGCCACCAAGGGAGGGACGGACGUCACUUUCUUCUCUUCUUCAUUUUCAUCUUAGGCACGUGGGGUGGGCGUCCCGACUUUCUUUCUUUAUUAUUUUUUUCCACUUCUUUUCUUUAAUAAAUAAUGGGUCUCCAAUCGAGCUUUUGCAUUUCUUCAUUUCUUCACCGAAUAAUUCUUUGAAAAUACUUUAUUUCUUCUUCUUUUUAAUCGAACUCGAGAAAAAUUAAAUAUGUGAAAUAAAACGAGAAUACCGGCAUAAUACUAAAAUAAAACAAUAUAAUUAAUAUAAAAUAAAGACAUAAUUUAUGUUAAUUGAAUCAAAUAAUACGAUAUAUUUUCAUGUUAUCAAACUCCCCUAUACUUGAACCUUUGUUUGUCCUCAAGAAAAUAAUCAUUAAAACAGUUGGACAAUACAGAUUAAAUGCAAACUCAUAACACAACUCGAGUUGUACUAGGUUACGGGAUGUUAUUGUUAGAAUAUCAUGAGAUCAAUCUCAACACCAAAAAAUACAGUAACGACACUAGACAACUCCGCCAUAUGCAUACCAAUCCGAAUCAUGCCAUCAUAGCUCGACCUUAUCCUUUUCGCUUGUUUUACCCAUUUUCAUUCACGCGCAAUCACAUUAAGCCCAUUAUCUUAUCACACACAUAGUAGAGUAGUCGGUUAGUGAUUAUGAUCCUUUUAAGCAUGGAGUUCUUGCACAAUUACGUGGUAUACUCCUUUUAUAUUUACUCAAUUGCAGGUUGUGGGGGAUCGAACUGUAGUUUGCCCUACCAAGUUCAGUACCAGAAAACUUUUGAACCAACCAACAAUGAGUUUCUUUUGUCAAAUAUCUUAGGUUCCAUGACCGUUUGGUUAAAUGACCGGGUGAGAGUCACCUAACUUAGUUGGUACAUUCCCUAUAGCAAUGAAUUGUUAUUUUUAUAAAUUAUAAGGAUCAUUCACUUCGACUCUCUACGUAGUUUGUAUUUAAGACGGAGCCGACUGCUAAAUAAACUGCUCAUGGUUACUUUAAACUAAAGUUUUAGGUUUCGGUAUAAUAGGUACUCAAAUAGGUCUUGCAUACUCGGGGGUUUUAGAAUGGUGAGACGGUAAUAAUAUUGUCUUAACUUCACUCAAGUUUCUAACAUUUCUUAAAAAUGAGUAACCUUCAUACUUUCGGGCGUGUAGAGCUAUGCAUCUAGUCAUGCUAAUUUUUUUUUUGUUAUGGCUCAAGAAAUUGAGGAAUUAAAAUAAGUACCAAAAAUUCGCAUACGUAGGAUUUAACUAACUUAAAUUUUUUAUUGAAUGGAAAUUGCGACAAAGAAAAAUAAAAGAAACAAAGAAAUUCUUCCCCCACACUUAAAAUGUGCAUUGUUCCCAAUGCAACAAGGUUGAAAGAAAAAUAACUCCUACUCCUCACUUUGUUAGGGCAUCCUUCUUCAUCCUCUAGUUCGAACCCUUCUACGCCUAUCCGAGUCAGGUGGUGCCUCAAAUUGUUGAAAGUAGUUAUGAACGUCGCCCACACGAAGUGCCAACACUUGCAUUUCGUCGCUUAAACCUCACACGCGGUUGGUCAUUUCCUGAUAGUUGUGGUCAUUUCGACUCUAUAAUUGUUGGACCAUUUGCAACAUUUCAUUGUGCCUUUUGUUGGAUACUACAUUUUUUUGCAUGAUGGCAUCGUAGAGGGUGUUCAUAGUGAUUUGCGGUGGAACAUUUUCGGGAGCCCUAGGCGGAGGAGGAUAUAAUGGUGGAAGG